GAAGCUGGGCACCCGUCACGUGGCUGGAAGGGGCGCUGCUCGUGGGUCGGAGCAGGAGGGGCAGGUCUGGAGAAGACCGAUAAAGAAGGGCGGGUCCGCCGGGGCGGAGCUGUGGGGUAGCCACAAGAGGCCGCCCGCGGGUCGCCUCCUCCUGGGCCCGGGCAGCAGAGAAGGGUACAGCAGCUGCUGCUUUUGCUUUGCUCCCUCUGCAGCCUUUGCGCCCUCGGAGCUACAAGGCAGCCGCCUGUGUCGGACUGAAAUCUUCCACCCAGUCGGUAUUGGUGAACCGGGAGCUUUUUCUUCUUGCGGCUGAUGUAGUGUUGAGGCCCCACGGGAUAUUUACCUACAAAGCGGUCACCUCCGGUUAUACCUUCAUAACAGUGACAGCAGGGGUAAGUUCCAGUCCAGUUUUAUGACUUUUGGGGGGCCGGAAACUAUAUUAGUCACAGUCAUGAAUAGCCUCCUGUUGGCUUUGGACUCAGUCAGUUUGCCUUUUUGGUUAUACUAGAUCUGUGAUCACCUAUGUAAUUAACCAUAGUUUGUUGCUUUGGUGUUUAAAAGGUGUUGGUCCUAUACAGCUAUGGUUCUCAGCCAGGGGUAUGCAUACUUCUGGGGGUAUGCAGAGGUCUUCCGGGGUACAUCAACUCGUCUAGAUAUUUGCCUAGUUUUACAACAGGCUACAUAAAAAGCACUAGUGAAGUCAGUAUAAACUAAAAUUUCAUACAGACAAUGACUUCUUUAUACUGCUCUAUAUACUGAACACUGAAAUGUAAGUACAAUAUUUAUAUUUCAACUGAUUUAUUUCAUAAUUUUAUGGUAAAAGUGAGAAAGUAAGCAAUUUUUCAGUAAUAGUAUGCUUUGAUACUUUUGUAUUUUUAUGUCUGAUUUUGUAAGCAAGUAGUUUUUAAGUGAGGUGAAACUUGGGGGUACGCAGGACAAAUCAGACUCAUAAUUUGUGUGGACGGUUCCUUUAUUUAAUCUGUGAAGAUUCUACAACUGAACCUCAUCCCCUCAUGACCAAGAACUAGGGCUGUCAAGUGAUUAAAAAAUUAAUCACAAUUAAUUGCAC
rnacentral:lncRNA from 1 species